rnacentral:rRNA from 1 species
AUGAGCUCGUGCAUGAGGAGCUCGCGCUCCCUCCUCGCUGCAGCCAUCCGUCUCCUGCAAGUCUUCUGUCAACGUAUGUCUAUGGCAUUGCGUGUUUCUCAGGACUAUUGUACCUCCCUGUGGAGGUCGGUGACCAUCCACUUGGCUCUUAGCCGGUACUUACACGCCCUGUGGAGGGUCAUGACAGCAUCUAUGUUCCAAACUCUCCAUGUCGGCACAAGGACCAUUGUCUACCGUGAAUUUUACGUUGAGACCGUGCCCUGCACCAACCGCACCCACAAGGUCAUCCGCUCUCCCAGGAAAGCACGAGAAAUUGGAGAGCGUGCCUUUGCAAAUUUCAAGAAGAAGCACGCCUCCAAGAUCCUCGACCCACACCACCAUGAAAGUGUUCGCGUCCAUGCCAUUGGCUGGAAGAUCAUUCGCGCUAUCCGUCGUGUAUUGUCCAUUAAGAGAAAGAUAGAGCGACAAGGACAGGAACCACUACAGAAGAUGACACGUCUGGGUUGGAUCCGCGAGCUCAAUUUGGAGGUGAUAGUCGUAGAGGAAAAUGUCAGAACAGGACGGUGCUUUCCUGGUGGUGGCAAGAUAGUACUCUACACGGGAUUACUUGAUCAUUUCAGCACAGAUGCUGAGAUUGCCACCAUCAUCGCGCAUGAGGUUGGACAUAUUAUUGCGAGGCACUCCUCUGAGAUGAUCAAAAUAUUCAAGUGGUGGCUCCCAACCCGCCUCCUCGUGACGCCAUUGUUACAAAGAUUAUCCCAAGUUUUUGGGAAUCCUCAAUUAUUUGGCCCUCUUCCAUUUGGUGUUCCUACAAAAAUCCCCGUUUUUCUCGUUUUCGUCUGGCCAGCGCCCACUGACCAUCAUGUUAAUGUUUGUUGGAUACCUAUAUGCCCCUCUGCCAUGAGCUACUGCCAGUUGGGUUCCCAGCGGAAUGAGCUAGAGGCAGAUUACAUUGGAAUGUUGCUACAGGCUGCUGCUGGUUUCGAUCCCCACGCUGCCCCUAUGUCCCUUGAAAAGCAAGGACGAAUAAAUCGGAAGUCGACAUUGACAAAAUUGCUCUCCUUCUUCUCAUUCAGCGCUCAUCCAUCUACUAAGAAAAGAUCACAACUUUUAUCACAACCCAAGGUCAUGGAGGAGGCUAUGGAAUUGUACAGAGAAGCAACCAGUGACGGGCCUGACAAUGAAGGAUGUAGUUCCUCUUAA